rnacentral:rRNA from 1 species
UUUGUUGCCAGCGAGUAAUGUCGGGAACUCAAGGAGACUGCCGGUGAUAAACCGGAGGAAGGUGGGGAUGACGUCAAGUCAUCAUGGCCCUUACGAGUAGGGCUACACACGUGCUACAAUGGCAUAUACAAAGAGAAGCGAACUCGCGAGAGCAAGCGGACCUCAUAAAGUAUGUCGUAGUCCGGAUUGGAGUCUGCAACUCGACUCCAUGAAGUCGGAAUCGCUAGUAAUCGUAGAUCAGAAUGCUACGGUGAAUACGUUCCCGGGCCUU